AGCUCCAAUAGCGUAUAUUAAAGUUGUUGCAGUUAAAACGCUCGUAGUUGAAUCUUGGGUCGGACGGCAGCUGCGGGACAAUGUCUUUAGCGGAGGCCGCCGGCCAAUAUUUUUUCCGGAGUGGUCCGUGUGGCCUUUAUUGGCUGUGCGGGGUCACUGCUCCGGACGUUUACUUUGAAAAAAUUAGAGUGUUCAAAGCAGGCGUUUUCGCUGUGAAUACAUUAGCAUGGAAUAAUGGAACAGGACUUUGGUCGUGUUUUGUUGGUUUUAAUGGCCGAAGUAAUGAUUAAUAGGGAUAGUUGGGGGCAUUCGUAUUUCGAUGUCAGAGGUGAAAUUCUUGGAUUUUCGAAAGACGAACUACUGCGAAAGCAUCUGCCAAGGAUGUUUUCAUUAAUCAAGA
rnacentral:rRNA from 1 species